rnacentral:lncRNA from 1 species
CAAAGAAUUUUGGUGGUUUGAAUCAGAGUGCGCAGCGAAAGUGUAGUGGUAUGAAUUAUUUUUUUUUAAGUUGGUCAGAAGUAUUAUCUUUUUGAUUCGGCAAAUUUUAAGAACAAAAGAAUUGAUCUAUUUUCUUGUGUGGUAAGAUUUUUUUGAUAAACGAAAAGCAAAUGUUUUGAUUCUUGGAUAUCGCUGCACUAUUUUAGGUUCUCCAAUUUUAUGUCAUGCUAAAGAAAUUCUUAGCAUCUUGAGACUAGAUUUAAUGGGCUAUCAAUUUUGACCUUCGGUCUAGAAUAUUUUGGUGUAGACCUCUUUUCUUUUGAAUUUGAAGCUUGAACUUCUUCAAUUAAUAUCAACCCUCUAUCUGAUUGAAAGAAAUCAAGGUUAUCCAUUGAUUGAUGAAUAUUCUAUAAGGAGUGGAUUAGAAUUGUUUAUGAUCUAAUCUUGUGAUAGAUCGAUUAAUCAAGAGCAGUUGAUAUUUUGACAAAAAAAAAUUUUGAUGUUCUUAUUCAAACUUAAGACGAUUUUUAUUUAUGAGAGAGAAGUUUGACUUACAUCAUCUACAAAAAAAACUAAAUUUGGAGGUAUUGGACCUUAUUCUUAUGAUAAGAUGAAGUUGUAUUGAUAAGUAGAAUUAUUGGAAGACUUGAGUUAGUCUUCUAGUAGAGAAGAAUGUUGUUGGUUCUAUGAAUAGUCUGGAGGUAGCUAUGUAAUUUUCAUCAGUGGGUUUUUU